GUUUAAACAAAACUAUCUUGGGCAAACCAGGAUGUAUGGUCACUUGGCUUCUAUGAUUCCAUGACCAUCAACAAAUGGUACAAAUUAAAUUCUAUGGGUAGGACUGGGUCCCAUCUUCCGUAGCUACCCCUGACUUCUGGUCUAUCUCCUCCCCCAAACUGUUGACAGCCAAUCCUCUCUGUAUGGCCUCUCAUUCUCUAACCAACUCUCUCGUGAGAAUUUUAGUCCCAAAGCCGUUGCAGAAGGAAAGCAUGGACAUAUGGCUAUAAUUUCAAGCAAAUUUCCCCCACAGGUGCUUCAUAUUCCUAACAACUAUCUUGAUCAGAUGCAUAUUUAAUGCCUUUUGCUGGAGACACAGAUGCAAACUGCUCAACCCUUCCUGGAGCUUCAGAAUGCUGCCAGGUCCCAGUACAUUUGCUGUGAGAGCUACUGGAGGGCCUGGAGCUACAUUCUGUCAGUGUCCCCACAAGACCCAGACUCUCAGGAAACUUACUCACAAGGUAUGGGAGAGUGGUGGACAGGGAGAGGCGGGGAGAGGUGGAAGCUUCAUUACAAAAUCCUGCACCUGUCAGACAGACACCAAGUCCUAGAAGCAUUUAGAUAGUAGAAGAAUUCUCUUCUCUUUGUACGUAUUGCAAUGACAGGGCACAGGAUAAACUACACAGAGAUAAUUGCCGGAAUCAGGGCAGCAGCCCAUGCCUGGUGCCCCCGACCACAUCCGUGAAGCCCACCGGAGAAGUGGUUUGAUUGCAGUAUGCAUGAGAGAGGCAAGGCUAAGAGGCCCAACUUGGUCUGAGCCCAGGGUGGAGACUACAUAAAUC
rnacentral:lncRNA from 1 species